AGAGUUUGAUCAUGGCUCAGAUUGAACGCUGGCGGCAUGCUUUACACAUGCAAGUCGAACGGCAGCACGGGGGCAACCCUGGUGGCGAGUGGCGAACGGGUGAGUAACGAAUCGGAACGUGCCCGGUAGUGGGGGAUAACCAGUCGAAAGAUUGGCUAAUACCGCAUACGACCUACGGGUGAAAGCGGGGGACCGUAAGG
rnacentral:rRNA from 1 species